UGGGUGGGACUCUUGGAGAGUGCAAAGAAAAGUUUGACUUGAUACUCCCCAGUUUGCUACACCAGGAAAUCUCUGCUUCCUGUUCCAGCUCUGCAGCAGCAGAGCUCAUAGCCCUCUAGUUCUUUCCUGUGCUUGGCAGGCUGACUUGGCAGUGCAAAGGUCUGGAACUAAAGAAGAACAAGAUAUUUUCUAUCUUGGAGAAGAACUAAAAUAUGUUGGUCUCCAGCCUUCUCCUGGUGAUCCUGUCUUCACUGUGGCUGGGAUCUAGUAUUGCCCAGAAGGUAACUCAAGCCCAACCAACAAUAUUGGUGCAAGAGAAAGAACCUGUGACCCUGGACUGUACAUAUGAGGUCAGUGCUGUAAGUUACAGUCUCUACUGGUAUAAGCAGCCCAGCACUGGGGAGAUGAUCUUCCUUAUUCGUCAGGACUCCUACAGCCAGCACAAUACAACACAAGGCCGCUACUCACUGAACUUCCAGAAGGAAAGGAAAUCCAUCAGCCUUAUCAUCUCCACUUCACAGCUGGGAGACUCAGCUGUGUACUUCUGUGCACUGAAUGAUGACACUGUGAGAGGACUCUUGUAG